AUUGAACGCUGGCGGCAGGCCUAACACAUGCAAGUCGAGCGGAUGAAGGGAGCUUGCUCCUGGAUUCAGCGGCGGACGGGUGAGUAAUUCCUAGGAAUCUGCCUGGUAGUGGGGGAUAACGUCCGGAAACGGGCGCUAAUACCGCAUACGUCCUGAGGGAGAAAGUGGGGGAUCUUCGGACCUCACGCUAUCAGAUGAGCCUAGGUCGGAUUAGCUAGUUGGUGGGGUAAAGGCCUACGAAGGCGACGAUCCGUAACUGGUCUGAGAGGAUGAUCAGUCACACUGGAACUGAGACACGGUCCAGACUCCUACGGGAGGCAGCAGUGGGGAAUAUUGGACAAUGGGCGAAAGCCUGAUCCAGCCAUGCCGCGUGUGUGAAGAAGGUCUUCGGAUUGUAAAGCACUUUAAGUUGGGAGGAAGGGCAGUAAGUUAAUACCUUGCUGUUUUGACGUUACCAACAGAAUAAGCACCGGCUAACUUCGUG
rnacentral:rRNA from 1 species